AUCCGCGCCUUGUGCAACUGCUAUUUUUGCACAACACCCUCCCUGGUACUAACGACCAGCGGCUACAGAUAUUGGAAACAUGUUUGGUGCGGUUCCGAAAGGCUGUGGCAAGUCGGUAUUCAGGUCGAAUGCAUGACAUGCUGUCAUACUUCAUUGGCUCAAAGUACACCACUGGCAUUUCUCAGGUUGAUGGUGUGAAAGUUCAAGCAUUCUGUGUAUUCAACCGAGGCUAUGAACCAGUGGAGACUGACGCGUAUCCAGCUGAUGUAUACAAUGGUGUAUCAGUAGAUAUGACAACAGCUAGACGUCAUGGCUUCAAUGUUGUGGCAUGUCUGGGUGUGAGUGACACUCGGUUACUACGUCAUCCUGUACGUACACCUAACGGGUAUGAUACUCUUCAGGCAUCGGCACUGAAAUCUCAAGGAUGUUAUAUUAUUCCGGUGGUACUCGAAUAUGGCGCUCGGUACUCGCAGAGAAGCAGACACUUUAUCCCGGAUUUGCUGAUCAAUUAUCCGCAUCACAUUGGCGUGUUCAAAGACCUGUUGCCUGCUAAGCAGUGAUGGACAUACACACUGAUGUCAUACUUAACACUAUGGUACCUCUGAACAGCCGAAUACUAUGCCGAAUUGUGCAGGAAGUGUGUGAUAAUAUCAUGGGAGACUGGAAUAUGGUGUCCAUCUUGUGAUUUUUAAAGUUAUUAUUUCUCCGAUUCCUUUCUUUUUCUACUGACCAGAACAGUGAGUAAGUUGGUGCUGCGUCUUGGUUCAUUCCACUCUAUUGGCUGAGUAACUGAGUAACUUAGUAGGUGAGUACAUCGGAUGUGAGAGGGUAAUGCUGCUAGUGCUAGUGCAGUAUGCAUGUUGAUUGUGUUAUUGAAAUCAAGGCAUUGUCGAAUUUUGUGUGUGUGUGUGUGUGUGUGUGUGUGGUACAUGGUGUAUGUGUGUGUAUGUGUGUAUGUGUGUAUGUGUGUGUGUGUGUGUGUGUGUGUGUGUGUGAUUACUUUACUUCCCAUUUCUUUUUUUCUGUUCAGAGUGCGUACAUAUUGUACGUUGAUAUUGUGAAUCCUCCACAUGUGUAUUCACUGCUAUUCAGCUUCCAUUGUGCGUGUGUGUGCUUGUACAUUAAUUUUAAUUCCCAUGAAGUUCGUUUUUCUUUGUGUGGGCAUAUACGUUGAUAUUGUGAAUCCUCCACAUUUGUGUUGUUCCUUCCAUUGUCCAUACAACAUGUAGUACAUGUAGCGUCUGGAGUGGCCAGGAUCCUGAUUCUUGACUGAGUUACAUCUUUAAAAGGUAGUAGCGUCUGCCA